GACGAACGCUGGCGGCGUGCCUAAUACAUGCAAGUAGAACGCACAGUUUAUACCGUAGCUUGCUACACCAUAGACUGUGAGUUGCGAACGGGUGAGUAACGCGUAGGUAACCUGCCUGGUAGCGGGGGAUAACUAUUGGUAACGAUAGCUAAUACCGCAUAAUAUUAAUUAUUGCAUGAUAAUUAAUUGAAAGGUGCAAUUGCACCACUACCAGAUGGACCUGCUUUGUAUUAGCUAGUAGGUGAGGUAACGGCUCACCUAGGCGACGAUACAUAGCCGACCUGUGGGGGUGAAGCGCCCCUCUGGGACUGGAACACGGCCCAGGCUCCGACAGGCGGCAGCGGUAGGGAAGCGUCGGAGAUGGACGGAAGACUGAACGAGGAACGCAGCGGGGGUGAAGAAGGGUUUCGGGUCGGAAAGCUCUGUUGUAAGAGAAGAACGGGUGUGAGAGUGGAAAGUUCACACUGUGACGGUAUCUUACCAGAAAGGGACGGCUAACUACGUG
rnacentral:rRNA from 1 species